rnacentral:lncRNA from 1 species
AAGUUACAACUUACAUGUUACUUUCUUUCUCUUUGAACCUCAGAUGAUAUGAUUUUCUCUAUUGUUUUCUUCGUUUUACUGCUUUCUUACAAAUACACAACAGGAAAUAACCACAAAAGUGACCAUCCCAUUACAUUCAGAUUUCUUAUAAACUUAAUUACCAUAGCAACUAUCUUUGAAAUUUGUCGAACAUAUGGUCAACCUUAUCAGAAUGUGCUUGAUUAACAGACUGGCUGUAUCAAAUAUCACUCUGCAUAUAAUUGCUAAAUUAUUAUGUUUCACAAAGUUUAAUGAAUAAAGUUAUUAUAAAUAAUGAUUGCAAUAAAUUUAAACUUUUAACCAGGC